AUUUUCUGCUAGGUCUCGUCGGAGUCGCCUUCCUGGAGCAUUUUUGUUAUUGAUCUCGCUGAAAGAGCUGGAGCGCGAAGGCUACGCUUCCCUGGGGACCGAGAGAGAGAGAGAAUUGGAGGCGGGGUGGGGGGGAAGGGGAGUAGGCUGGCGGUCGGGGGGAGGGAGUAAUAAACUUCAGAAGACGUAGGGCGUUCCUCAAUACCCCAGGGCAGCAC
rfam:Pteropus alecto contig31015, whole genome shotgun sequence.